rnacentral:rRNA from 1 species
CCUACGGGAGGCAGCAGUGCGGAAUAUUGGUCAAUGGCCGGAAGGCUGAACCAGCCAAGCCGCGUGAAGGACGAAGGUGCCAAGCAUUGUAAACUUCUUUUGUCAAGGGACAAAAUCAGGCUCGAGAGCCUGACCGAGGGUACUUGAAGAAAAAGCAUCGGCUAACUCCGUGCCAGCAGCCGCGGUAAUCCGGAGGAUGCGAGCGUUAUCCGGAUUUAUGGGGUUUAAAGGGUGCGUAGGCGGGCUGUUAAGUCAGCGGUAAAAGCCCGGGGCGCAACCCCGGCGAGCCGUUGAAACUGGCUGUAUGGAGAUGUCGAGAGGUAUGCGGAAUGCGCAGUGUAGCGGUGAAAUGCUUAGAGAUUGCGCAGAACUCCGAUUGCGAAGGCAGCAUACCGGCGGCGAUCUGACGCUGAGGCACGAAAGCGUGGGUAUCGAACAGGAUUAGAUACCCUAGUAGUC